GACGAACGCUGGCGGCACGCCUAACACAUGCAAGUCGAACGGACUUAAAAGAGCUUGCUUUUUUAAGUUAGUGGCGGACGGGUGAGUAACACGUGAGCAACCUGCCUCUGAGAGGGGGAUAGCUUCUGGAAACGGAUGGUAAUACCCCAUAAAAUAUAAAUAUCGCAUGAUAGAUAUAUCAAAGAAAUUCGCUCAGAGAAGGGCUCGCGUCUGAUUAGAUAGUUGGUGAGGUAACGGCUCACCAAGUCGACGAUCAGUAGCCGGACUGAGAGGUUGAACGGCCACAUUGGGACUGAGACACGGCCCAGACUCCUACGGGAGGCAGCAGUGGGGAAUAUUGCACAAUGGAGGGAACUCUGAUGCAGCGAUGCCGCGUGGAGGAAGAAGGUUUUCGGAUUGUAAACUCCUUUUAUCAGGGACGAUAAUGACGGUACCUGAAGAAAAAGCUCCGGCUAACUACGU
rnacentral:rRNA from 1 species